UGACUGCGUACCUUUUGUAUAAUGGGUCAGCGACUUAUAUUCUGUAGCAAGGUUAACCGAAUAGGGGAGCCGAAGGGAAACCGAGUCUUAACUGGGCGUUAAGUUGCAGGGUAUAGACCCGAAACCCGGUGAUCUAGCCAUGGGCAGGUUGAAGGUUGGGUAACACUAACUGGAGGACCGAACCGACUAAUGUUGAAAAAUUAGCGGAUGACUUGUGGCUGGGGGUGAAAGGCCAAUCAAACCGGGAGAUAGCUGGUUCUCCCCGAAAGCUAUUUAGGUAGCGCCUCGUGAAUUCAUCUCCGGGGGUAGAGCACUGUUUCGGCAAGGGGGUCAUCCCGACUUACCAACCCGAUGCAAACUGCGAAUACCGGAGAAUGUUAUCACGGGAGACACACGGCGGGUGCUAACGUCCGUCGUGAAGAGGGAAACAACCCAGACCGCCAGCUAAGGUCCCAAAGUCAUGGUUAAGUGGGAAACGAUGUGGGAAGGCCCAGACAGCCAGGAUGUUGGCUUAGAAGCAGCCAUCAUUUAAAGAAAGCGUAAUAGCUCACUGGUCGAGUCGGCCUGCGCGGAAGAUGUAACGGGGCUAAACCAUGCACCGAAGCUGCGGCAGCGACACUAUGUGUUGUUGGGUAGGGGAGCGUUCUGUAAGCCUGUGAAGGUGGCCUGUGAGGGUUGCUGGAGGUAUCAGAAGUGCGAAUGCUGACAUAAGUAACGAUAAAGCGGGUGAAAAGCCCGCUCGCCGGAAGACCAAGGGUUCCUGUCCAACGUUAAUCGGGGCAGGGUGAGUCGACCCCUAAGGCGAGGCCGAAAGGCGUAGUCGAUGGGAAACAGGUUAAUAUUCCU
rnacentral:rRNA from 1 species